UGGGGAAUUUUGGACAAUGGGCGCAAGCCUGAUCCAGCAAUGCCGCGUGCAGGAUGAAGGCCUUCGGGUUGUAAACUGCUUUUGUACGGAGCGAAAAGGUCUGCCCUAAUACGGUGGGCUCAUGACGGUACCGUAAGAAUAAGCACCGGCUAACUACGUGCCAGCAGCCGCGGUAAUACGUGGGGUGCGAGCGUUAAUCGGAAUUACUGGGCGUAAAGCGUGCGCAGGCGGUUAUAUAAGACAGAGGUGAAAUCCCCGGGCUCAACCUGGGAACUGCCUUUGUGACUGCAUAGCUAGAGUACGGUAGAGGGGGAUGGAAUUCCGCGUGUAGCAGUGAAAUGCGUAGAUAUGCGGAGGAACACCGAUGGCGAAGGCAAUCCCCUGGACCUGUACUGACGCUCAUGCACGAAAGCGUGGGGAGCAAACA
rnacentral:rRNA from 1 species